GAGCGCCCCUUCGGGGGAGCGGCGGACGGGUGAGUAACGCGUGGGAACGUGCCCUUUGGUACGGAACAACUGAGGGAAACUUCAGCUAAUACCGUAUGUGCCCUUCGGGGGUGAGAUUUAUCGCCAUUGGAGCGGCCCGCGUUGGAUUAGCUAGUUGGUGGGGUAAUGGCCCACCAAGGCUACGAUCCAUAGCUGGUCUGAGAGGAUGAUCAGCCACACUGGGACUGAGACACGGCCCAGACUCCUACGGGAGGCAGCAGUAGGGAAUCUUGCGCAAUGGGCGAAAGCCUGACGCAGCCAUGCCGCGUGAAUGAUGAAGGUCUUAGGAUUGUAAAAUUCUUUCACCGGGGAAGAUAAUGACGGUACCCGGAGAAGAAGCCCCGGCUAACUUCGUG
rnacentral:rRNA from 1 species